rnacentral:sRNA from 1 species
GGUCUCUACAACGCCAAGAUCUAACUAAGCUUUAAAAGGUCAAGAAGUUUUAUGGCUGACAAAGGACUCGCGCAACGCAGAAGGCCUUUCCCACCUUAAGCUUCCGGGGAUCUGGGAAUUUUACCCCCAUUCUCUUCUGUUUGUCUGAGUCUCAUCUCUCUGCAAGCAAGGGCUGAAAUCAUUUUGUUUGGGAUAGCUGGGAGUAUGGCCACCCUGCUCCACGAUGCGGUAAUGAAUCCAGCAGAAGUGGUGAAGCAGCGCUUGCAGAUGUACAACUCGCAGCACCGGUCAGCAAUCAGCUGCAUCCGGACGGUGUGGAGGACCGAGGGGUUGGGGGCCUUCUACCGGAGCUACACCACGCAGCUGACCAUGAACAUCCCCUUCCAGUCCAUCCACUUCAUCACCUACGAGUUCCUGCAGGAGCAGGUCAACCCCCACCGGACCUACAACCCGCAGUCCCACAUCAUCUCAGGCGGGCUGGCCGGGGCCCUCGCCGCGGCCGC